CGGAAUGUUUUCUGAUUGUUGGG
rnacentral:miRNA from 1 species